CCAAUGGCCUUUUUUAGGGCCACACAUGUAACUAAACCAAAAUUAU
rfam:Toxocara canis scaffold9, whole genome shotgun sequence.